rnacentral:misc_RNA from 1 species
UUUCCGUAGGUGAACCUGCGGAAGUAUCAUUACAGAGUUCAUGCCCUCACGGGUAGAUCUCCCACCCUUGAAUAUUUAUACCUUAGUUGCUUUGGCAGGCCGUGGAAACACCAUGGGCUCCGGCUUAUGCGUGCCUGCCAGAGGAAACAAACUCUGUUUUUAGUGAUGUCUGAGUACUAUAUAAUAGUUAAAACUUUCAACAACGGAUCUCUUGGUUCUG